CCUUCGGGAGGGCGCUUACCACUGUGUGAUUCAUGACUGGGGUGAAGUUUUAACAAGGUAACCGUAGGGGAACCUGCUGUUGGAUCACCUCCUUACCUUAACGAAGC
rnacentral:rRNA from 1 species